rnacentral:rRNA from 1 species
GUAGGUGGCAAGCGUUGUCCGGAAUUAUUGGGCGUAAAGCGCGCGCAGGCGGUUCUUUAAGUCUGAUGUGAAAGCCCACGGCUCAACCGUGGAAGGUCAUUGGAAACUGGAGAACUUGAGUACAGAAGAGGAAAGCGGAAUUCCACGUGUAGCGGUGAAAUGCGUAGAGAUGUGGAGGAACACCAGUGGCGAAGGCGGCUUUCUGGUCUGUAACUGACGCUGAGGCGCGAAAGCGUGGGGGAGCAAACAGGAUUAGAUACCCUGGUAGUCCACGCCGUAAACGAUGAGUGCUAAGUGUUAGGGGGUUUUCCCGCCCCUUAGUGCUGCAGCUAACGCAUUAAGCACUCCCGCCUGGGAGUACGGCCGCAAGGCUG